UGGGGAAUAUUGCACAAUGGGCGAAAGCCUGAUGCAGCGACGCCGCGUGAGUGAGGAAGUAUUUCGGUAUGUAAAGCUCUAUCAGCAGGGAAGAAAGAAAUGACGGUACCUGAGUAAGAAGCUCCGGCUAAAUACGUGCCAGCAGCCGCGGUAAUACGUAUGGAGCAAGCGUUAUCCGGAUUUACUGGGUGUAAAGGGAGCGUAGGCGGCAGAGCAAGUCUGAUGUGAAAGCCCGGGGCUCAACCCCGGUAGUGCAUUGGAAACUGUUCAGCUUGAGUGUCGGAGGGGUAAGCGGAAUUCCUGGUGUAGCGGUGAAAUGCGUAGAUAUCAGGAAGAACACCGGAGGCGAAGGCGGCUUACUGGACGAUUACUGACGCUGAGGCUCGAAAGCGUGGGGAGCGAACAGGAUUAGAUACCCUGGUAGUCCACGCUGUAAACGAUGAAUACUAGGUGUCGGUACCCGAAGGGUAUCGGUGCCGUCGUAAACGCAUUAAGUAUUCCACCUGGGGAGUACGUUCGCAAGAAUG
rnacentral:rRNA from 1 species